GGAAGUAAGGUCAUUGGAUGUGUCCUUUUUUGUUUUCUGUCACUGUGAUAGGUCACUCUGACCCGGGGCGACUUGAAGCAGAAAGGGCUUGUUUAGUCUACAGCAUGUGGUCCACUGUGGAGGGAAGUCAGAGCGGGCACUGAAGCAGAGAGCAGGGAGGGACACUGUUUACCGGCUCACGGCUCACUCCCACUGGCUUGUUACUCUGACUCGCUUACCUAAUUCAGGACUACCCGCUCAGGGGCGAAUCUGCCCACCAAGGCCUGAGACACCUCCCUCUCCCAUCUCCAUCAGUUAGCAAUCAGGAAAAUGCCCCACAAGACAUACCCACAGGUUAAUCUGAUGGAAACAGUUCCUCCACAGAGAUUUCCUUUUCCCAGGUAUGUGACAUUGGCAACCAGGAUUAGCUGUCCUAGGUGUGUCCUUGUAGGGGGGAUGCUGGGAUCCUGCCCCAUCUCUCCCACCCCCACUCAUGAUUCCAGCCGCUAUGAAGUUAGUGGCUUUCUUUCUUACCCACGUACUCUUGCCCACACGGCCCAAAAGCCAUGGGACAAAUCGACGGCUCACCGAAGCCUCCAAAAUCAUGAGCCAAAAAUGUACCUUGCUUGAUAUAAAGUGAUUUUUCUCAGGUCACUGCAAUAGAAAUCUGAGUGGCCCAACAAACUGCCACCAACUUAGUGGCUUUAAGGAACCCAGACUUACUGUCUUGUCAUGAAUGCGAGGGGGUCUGAGACGGCCCCACUAGGCAGCAUUCCUUUCUGGAAACUCCAGACUUUUUUUUUUUUUUUUUUUUUUUUGGCCUUUUUCAGCUCCCAAAAUCUGCCUGAAUUCUUUGGCUCCCAGCCUCCACCAUCAAAAAAAAAAAAAAAAAAAAAAAACAAAAACAAAAAACAAAAAACAAAAAAACAACAACAAAAAAAAAAAAACCCGGUUAGAACUGGCUGAAUCCUUUUCACAGUAUCUCUCUGGUUCUGAUUCUUUUCUCUUUCUUCCCAAUUACAAAGACACUUGUGAUUGAAUUGGGCUUGAAUAGCCCAAGAUAACCUCUUAGCUUAAGGCCUUAAUCCCUCCUUGCCACAUACACAUAUCCUGACGUUAGGAUGUGGACGUCUUCAAGGACUCUCAACCUAACACACAAGCAUGUGCUGCGUGCGGGCACACACACAGAGGAAAUGUAUCAAGAUGUUGACAAAUGAGUUAAUAAAUGAAGGACACAGAUUAAGAACUUGAUUUUUUUUUCCCCCUCGAGAUGAAAAGUCUCAUUUGGAAAAAGGAAACGUCUCCCAAUGAUGGAUGUUUCAAGCAAGCACAAAUAUACACUCCAUUAUCCGAAAUUCAGAAGCUCUUAAAUGGAACUUUUUAAUGUGACAGGCUAACCUUUUCCAACUGUAAGACAUCAUAGAAGGUCCCCGUAAAGAAGUGCCCUUCCCCCAUUCUUUAUAACCCCACACCACUGGGAACUUUACUUCGUCAUGGAGACGACACACUUCACUGCAGGAUUGCCCCCAGCCUUUCACUUGGUCCACACUGCUUCCCCUGCUCAUGUUCUGGGAGGGUCCUCGGUCAGGCACCCACCAGGAGAUCGUUUAGUCAACCUGCUCAGGAGACAGAUACUGCGGAGAGUCCUGGAGAUGGAGGACCCAGGCUUCUGGUCCCUAGAAACUAAAUGGUGAGUGAAUAUUCUAUUGUUUAAUAUCUGAGUGAAGUCUGGGAGUCAUUUGUUAUAUGGUGACAGAAUAGAAAAAUAUUUUCUCCUGUCCUAGAUGACUAUGGUCAGGAAUUUGUUUACCAUUCCCUUGGCUUUCAUUUAUCACAUUGACCGGCACUUGCUUGCCUAAAUACUUGGUUACAUUCUUCGGUUUGAUCCUUCAGCCCUGGCUUACUUCUCUGUUUACCAUUCUCAUUUACUUUUCUUAUUCAAAAUUGGGUUCCUGGACCAAGUCAGGCUGCUCUUGGAGUUCAUUCAUUUUCCCUCAUGUGAAUUUCUCCAUUCUCCUGUUCUUGGACAGAGAGAGUGUUUUCAGCGUUUUGCUAUGGCAACCAGGCUGCUAUGAACAUUCUUGUGUGACUCCUGGAACAUCUGAGCUAUGUUUUCUCUAGGGUCUGUGUCUAGGAGCAAACCGGCCAGCUUAUAUGUUAUUAGCAUUAACUGUAGAACGCAUAUUUUUUCCAGUGUUGAUACAGUCUCACUUUAGGCAACUCUAGCACCUAAGAAUUUCCUUGUCCCUCAUCCAUUUGAUAUCGUCUGAUUUAUUACUUUUUGUGUUUUUGAAAGAUUUAACAAUUCAUUGCAGUUUAACUUGCUGUUUCCUAAUAGCUAAGAUGAACCCCUCCAAUGCACACAUUUAUUGUGGUAUAUUAGGUUUUAUUCUCCUGUAAAAUGCCCACUUAACGACCUUUGUCCAGAUUUUUAUUGGAGUGCCUUUAAGGGACUGACUCAUAGAAGUUUUUAUGUAUUCCUAUUCUAUCCCUUGACAGUUGUAUACAUGGCAAAUAUUUCCAGGCUUUGGAUUAGAUUUUCCUUUUUGUGAAGUAUUUUGAGGAAAAGACGUUCUAAAAUUUAAUGUAAACUAAUUUACCAGUCAUUUCCUGUCUGGCAUACACUUUAAUAUUGAGCACAGAGAAACCUUUUCCUCCACUAGUUUACAGGCACUUUUCUCCUAUGGUUUCUUACAGUUGUAAAAGGUUAGCCUGUCUCAUUUAAGUCUAACCCACCUGAAAGGGACUCUCGGGCAUGAGGCGUGCACCAAUUGGAGAUGAAUAUCCUAUCUUUCCAUGUGGAUAACCACAGAGCCGGUACCACUUUGUUGGAUGGUCCAUCCAAUUUUAUGCUAUUUCUGACCCCAUGAAACUUAUUUUGUUUUCUUCUCCUUUUCUCUGUCAAGUGUUUUGUUAUGUAGUCCAGGUUGGCUUCGUUCUCUGAAUCUGCUGCCCAGGCCUUCCAAGCUGUGCAACUGCAGGCGUUCACCACCACACCCAUCUUCCAGUCAAGAUUCUGCUUUAAGCAAGUGAGUCUGCUCUUGGCUCUGUUUUCAACUCCAUUGUUUUCCCUAUGUCCCUGUAUCCAAGCCAUACGGUCUUUAAUUAUCCCAAACUUUGCAACUACAAUGUCACCCUCUCCUCACCUCUGGACAAACAUCCAAGCUGUUUAGGCCUUUUGUUCUAUUUUGGAUCUUGGGUUUUUAUGCCUGCACAAUCGUAUGCGUACUUUUAUGCCUGAAGGCAUGUGCAGGUCAGAGGUCAACCUCAGGAGUUCUUCCUCAAGAGACCUACACCCUUUUGAGACAGGGUCUCUCACCAAGACCCAGGGCUUGGUGACUAGGCUAGGCUAGCUAGCCAGUGAAGCUCAGGGAUCCAUCUCCCUAGUGCUGGACAAAUAUUUUAAAACCAAGGAAAAUUUCCCCUUUCUGUCUCUAAUUUGCUAAGUAAUGGUGAACAAACACCAGGUAAACUUCUGGUGUGGUAAAUUUACACUAAUAUUUAUUUAACAAUAAAUGAACCUGGGAUUCUUGGGAUUAAUCCAAUUUUGUCAUGACUUACUAUCUUUUUUACAAAACACCAUGAAUAGAGCUGGUGAGAUGGCUUAGUGCUUAAGUGUGCCUCCGCUGUCACAGAGGUCCAAAUUUUGGUUCCCAGCAACCAUGUCAAACAGUACACAACCACCUCUAACUCCAGGUCCAGGAGGUCCGACUCUCUCCUCUGACUUCUGCAAGGUGCUGCAUACAUGGACACACAUGAGUAACAAAUACUUUUUUUUUUAUGUCAUGAGUUUGAGGCAUGGCAGAUCAGAUUUGUAGUCCUAGCAUUCAGGAGACAGAAGCAGAUGGCUCUAAGUUUAAGGCCAGCCUGGUUUACAUAAAUAGUUCCAGGCCAGACUGAGUUCUAGAGAUCCUGCCUCAAAAGAAACCAAAAGAGACCUUUCAAGAGCCAGGAGUAACUUCAGUUGCUACAAGUCCGUGAGACCGGUUGUGUAGCUUUUCUGACCACUGUCAUCGUAAGGAAGAACCGAUCAGAAAGAAGAGUAUGCAGAGCAUGGUCUGUUUGCUCCCCUCUGGGGAAAUGUGUACGUCUGCAGUGAUCUGGUCCUUUGUGGCUCUUGAACAGAUGGCUGAUACUCGUACAUGCAGGCAGGAAUUGAUAGUUUUGGCGAUCCUUAUAAUUUGCAAUCUUAUUAACAUUUCCAUGAAUUAAGAUGAGUUGCAUUUUGUUCAACUUUUUCCUUUUGUUACAGAAAUCCAAAAUCUGGUGAUCGAAGCAGGUUUUACUUUUCUUGUACAUCAGAGGUGGGUUGUCUGGAGGGAUGUGGUGGCUCCACUCUGCUCCUGGCACCCAGAUUCCCUUCUUUCCAUUCUGUCCCAUAGCAUAUGCUUCUGACUGCUUUGUCACUGACUGGUUGGCUUCAAGCACAAUGGUCACACUCUAGGCAAGAUGAAAUAAAGGGUACAAGAUGUGGGCAGAGUUGAGACAGGCACGCUGGUCGAAAGUGUACAGAGACCAGCACACCGAGUCUAUACCAUGCAUUUGAAAAGUGCAAAUGCAUGGCUUUAGCUCCUACCAAGCUCUCAACUGCUCUAGCCAAGGCUUCAGUGAUUAGUGGCUGAAAAGCAAAAAUGAAAACCAGAGAGAUGAGAAAGAGCAUGAUAAAACUCGGCUUCUAAUACUAAACACCUAACCAAGAUGUCUGGUAUGUCCAGGCCAGAGGUGUGACUGAGAAGGAACAGGGCUCUAGAUAGGGUCAUCUAGGUACGAUGCCUCUGGAAAACUUAAAUUCCUACCCUAGUGCUCAAAAUAGGUAUAGAAGCAAAGUAAUCUACUUCACAGAGAUGGAGGCAUCCAUCCCUGGGUCAACAGUAUGGCUCUGUUAGGCUGUCAUGUCAGGUCUGAGCUAGCUACUGCUGCCACCUAGUGGCUGUCUUCCUUUAAUGGAGGCUGAAAUAUAAGUGCUAAGCAUUGGGACCAUUCUUUGAAGCCAGGAAACCAUUGAGAAGCUGGCUGGCUGUAUGUAUGCAUGCAUGCACGCACGCACACAUUAUACAUACAUAUAUACACACAUGUACAUAUACACAUACAUACAUAUGUAUAUAUACAUAUCCACAUACACACAUGAACUAGAUUUGAACUUCAUGUGUUUCAGUCUUUAUGUCUGCCUCACGAGCACCAUUUGUCAACUAAGAAUGUGGUCAAACUGGGGUCACUUCAAAGGGGAAACAAAAAUGUGAGAAUUGGACCUAUGACCACAGGCCUCUUGUAUCAUGCAAUGUACCACACCCUAGGGACUUUGCAAUGUUCUGAUGGCGGUCCAUCUGAGGCACACAAGUAACACUCAAAAGUAGCAUAUACACACUAAAGAUGAAAGAUGUGUCUGUCUGGUGACACAAGGCCUAAGGGGUUGAGUCACUCGGGGACUUGAAACUUUUUGGGCUCUGCAAAUUUAGAGGCCCAGGUCUCCAAAGACAGAAACAUUUCUUCAAACCGAAGUGCCUAUUUAAAUUAUUGUAAGAUGUAUUUGCCACAAUGGUUCUUUACGUCUAGAAGCAAGAAGAGCCACCUGUUUAGCCGAUGGAAUUGACUGUCAUCUUUCAGUGAAAAGUUGGAACUUGGUUCCUAAGAACAGGAUGGGAUAUGAUGGUAUCUCAAAGAUCCACUUGUGGUUCUAGGCCACUUCCAGUGGUAACUGGACAGGUACAAGAGACCCAUGUCCUAAAAAUGAUAUAGUAACCAGAUACCUGUCCUUUCAAAGAUGGAGGUUUGGGUUUCACUAAGUGUAGCCACUGAAAGCUAUAUUAAGAACUAAGGGGAAUCUAGAAUGUGGCCGAGGUCACCCGCAGUGUUUGGGGCUGGGACUCAUUCCAGCAGCUGUCCUGAUUCUUCUGAGGAAGAGCCACACACUGGAGCCCGGAGCUGCUUCUGAAAUGAAGGAAGCGGUAGCUGUUGAGCAGUCUGUGAUGAGCAGAGAUGCACAGUGCUGACUCAUUUCAGACUUUCAAAUUUUCUCUGAGCAGUUCGAGCUCUUGCUUGCUGCCCUUCAGGCAUUUGCCCUUACCGGAUGCCCAUCUGCUUCUGGUCACGGUGGAGUCUCUUUUUACAUUUCAUCUGUUUAAAAGAUGUAGCUGUUGAUGAUACAGAUGUUUCUAGUUUUCUACUCAAUUGACAGCUUUAUCACUUUAUUUCCUUUCUUCUAUUUAGGGAUUAAUUUGAUCUUUUCCUAGUUUCAGGUAGAAGCUUAAGCAUUGAUUUCGUGUUCCCCCCUUAGUGUAAUGGUUCGAGUUGUUCUCUAUGGGCAUAUUCUUUUCUUUGAAACAUUUUACAUUACUUCAAAAUUGUUUGACACAUCUCAUUAUUUACUCUUUGAUACAUGUGUUAGUUAGAAGUAUGCUGUUUCAGUGUACUGGUGAGGCUAUUCCAGGUAUCUUCCCAUACUCCUUUCUAAAGUUUGGUUUUUUUUUUUUUUUUUUUUUUUGGACCGAAUCCAGGGCCUUGCGCUUCCUAGGUAAGCGCUCUACCACUGAGCUAAAUCCCCAGCCCUCUUUCUAAAGUUUUUAAAACGUUUAUUCUAACUUCCUGUCACCCAACACAUGGUGUACCUUGAAUAUACCAUAUUCACUGUCCAGAGUGUUCUAUAAAUGCCAACUAGAUCAAGUCAGCUUGUGUCAAGAUGGUGUUGAUGUAUUCAACCUUUAGAUUUCAUGUAGAUGUUUUUAUUCUUUUUUUUUUUUUUUCCGGAGCUGGGGACCGAACCCAGGGUCUUGCGCUUGCUAGGCAAGCGCUCUACCACUGAGCUAAAUCCCCAACCCCCCUGUUUUUAUUCUUUUUAGGUAAGUUUUUAUGUGUAUGUAUGUUUCCUUAUAUGUAUGUGUGUACAAAUCCCACUCAGGUGGUCAGACUUGGCAGCAAGCUCCUCCACCCGCUUAGCCAUCUUGCCUGCCUACCAGCAUUUUUAUCUACAUCCCCUACUAUGAAUGGACUCACCUGGUUAUCCUAUAAGUCCUUUGGUUUAAAAAACAUUAACUUUCUUAAAAUCUAUUAUUAGAACAGAAAGUUAAUGUAAAAUGUUACUACCUAGACAGAGUACGUCAAUUUAAUAAUCUAACCAGACUCAUAUUAUUCAAUGUUGUAUGGAUUAGAUUUGAUAGAUGAAAAGCCCUGGACCCAAACAUCAAUAGAUUUGUAAGACCGCACAAUAGAUGCAAGUUAUGAUGGAGUUACAUAUCUGACCUUCUCAUACCCACAGAUAUUAUCAGGUUUAACAGGCCCAAAGUUUUCUGUAUGAAUAAAUGAGCAAGUGUGUAAGUCAGAAAGCGAUGCAGUCUGUUCUGCACACAGCAUGCCAGGGCAAUGAUUCUAUCUCCACCAUUACCAAUAUUAAGAUACAUAUUUAAAAAAACACACAUUUUCAAAAGCAUAUUUUAAUUUUUUAAAAUUUUAAUUCAAGUACAAGUCAGCUAGUUAACAUAAACAGAACAUAAAUGCACAUAAUUUGCAGCCAUGUACAAAAGUGCAACAAGAGCAACACUCGCAUGGCCCGGCAAAGCUCGUUAGCUCUCAGGCUGCCUAGACUGACUCAUUGGUGUAAUGUACUUCACAUCCACUGGGGUACAUUCAGAAAGCUUUGCAUGACUCAUCACAACUAGUCCUUUAGUUUCUAAACAGAUAGCAUAAGAAUCCAGGUAUAAUUAUGGAGAAACAAGGUUAUAGGGGAGAAGAUAUGUGAGGGGCAGAAAGCACUCUUUAUUUCAUAUGGUAAGAUUCUGUCCUAUUUACGCGGACGUAUGGAUCUUAGGAAUGUUGAAAGUCAUGGUAAAGGAGGAUCACGGGCUGUGUAUCAGCCCUCAGGAGUCCCUACUGUAAGGGCAGUUUGGACAGGAGAGCCUGUGAACUGCGAAGUAGGAAGAAAGUCCUCAGAGAUAGGGGGAGACCAAUUUCUACCACUUACAUUCUUCAAAUGAAAUCAUUAUUUCACGGUGAUUUUUAAAAGCCAAAAAUUUUUAGACUUUAGUAAAUGAACAGUUAUUCUUCUGAACACCACAGAUGUGCUUAUCCUAACAAGGCUACUGCAAGGAGACAUCCAGGUUUAUGUGACAAAAAGGUCAGGCUGUGUUGUGUGACCUAACAGUGCUGUCAUGGUAUCAGAAUUACAAGCCUGCUUGAACCGCUUUAAUCAAUCAAGUUGGUUCUACAUAGUUGUACAGUGAGAACCGGAACAGAGUUUGUGAGCAUGGAGAGGCAGGCCUGUAACACCAGCACUUAGGAGGCAAAGGCAGAGAACCAGGAGACAAGGUCUUCUUAGGUAACAAGAGCCCCUAUCACCACAAAAACAAAACAAAAUUUGAAGAAAAAGGCAAACCAAUGCCAGGACAGAGGUCUCGGGGAGGCCGCUCCCUGGUAACUUAAAAGCACUGUAUGGUACCUACUAAAGCUUGCGAUUGAUUCCCCAGCUGGAGUGGUGUCCGAGUUCAAGCACUUGAGCACAGCAGUCUGCUGCUGUGAGGGCUGCUUCUAGAAGCUACUACUCCAGCCCGGCUGAGGAAGUUCAAUUUUCUGAGAAGAAAGACUGCAACAAAAGUAUACAGCAAGGUCCACCCGAGCUCUUUACAUUUAAAAAAAGAUUAUAUGAUUAAAACAAGUUUUUUUUAAAAAAAACAAUGCUCUGAGUAUGUAUUUUUUUAAAAAAAAUUACAAUUAAAAUCUUC